GACUCUCGGCAAUGGAUAUCUCGGCUCUUGCAACGAUGAAGAGCGCAGCAAAAUGCGACACAUGGUGCGAAUUGCAGAAUCCCGUGAACCAUCGAGUACUUGAACGCAAGUUGCGCCCAAGGCCACAUGCUGAGGGCACGUCUACCUGGGGGUCCAGCUUCGGUUCCAUCCGCUGU
rnacentral:rRNA from 1 species